ACUCUGUUGUUGGAGAAGAAGGAUAGAGGUAGUAACUGGCCUUUAUUUGACGGUAAUCAACCAGAAAGUCACGGCUAACUACGUGCCAGCAGCCGCGGCAAUACGUAGGUGGCAAGCGUUGUCCGGAUUUAUUGGGCGUAAAGCGAGCGCAGGCGGAAAAAUAAGUCUAAUGUGAAAGCCCUCGGCUUAACCGAGGAACUGCAUCGGAAACUGUUUUUCUUGAGUGCAGAAGAGGAGAGUGGAACUCCAUGUGUAGCGGUG
rnacentral:rRNA from 1 species